CAAAAGGUUUUUUUCAAAACCACACAAUAUUGUGAUUCAGCUCAUGG
rfam:Danio rerio chromosome 11, GRCz11 reference primary assembly.